CCUACGUGAUGCAGCAGUGAGGAAUAUUGGUCAAUGGACGCAAGUCUGAACCAGCCAUGCCGCGUGCAGGAAGACGGCUCUAUGAGUUUUAAACUGCUUUUGUACGAGGGUAAACGCAGAUACGCGUAUCUGUCUGACAGUAACGUACGAAUAAGGAUCGGCUAACUCCGUGCCAGCAGCCGCGGUACUACGGAGGAUUCAAGCGUUAUCCGGAUUUAUUGGGUUUAAAGGGUGCGUAGGCGGUCGGAUAAGUUAGAGGUGAAAUCCCGAGGCGCAACUUCGGAAUUGCCGCUGAUACUGUGAGGCUAGAGAGUAGUUGCGGUAGGCGGAAUGUAUGGUGUAGCGGUGAAAUGCUUAGAGAUCAUACAGAACACCGAUUGCGAAGGCGGCUUACCAAGCUACGUCUGACGUUGAGGCACGAAAGCGUGGGGAGCAAACAGGAUUAGAUACCCUUGUAGUC
rnacentral:rRNA from 1 species